UACAGAGGGUGCGAGCGUUACUCGGAAUUACUGGGCGUAAAGCGUGCGCAGGCGGUUUGUUAAGUCUGCUGUGAAAUCCCCGAGCUCAACUUGGGAAUUGCAGUGGAUACUGGCAAGCUGGAGUACGGUAGAGGAAGGUGGAAUUCCCGGUGUAGCAGUGAAAUGCGUAGAGAUCGGGAGGAACACCAGUGGCGAAGGCGGCCUUCUGGACCAGUACUGACGCUCAUGCACGAAAGCUAGGGGAGCAAACAGG
rnacentral:rRNA from 1 species